rnacentral:misc_RNA from 1 species
UCUCCGUAGGUGAACCUGCGGAGGGAUCAUUACUGAGUGAGGGUCUCCGGGCCCGACCUCCAACCCUUUUGUGAACCACCUCGUUGCUUCGGGGGCGACCCUGCCGGCACUCGGUCGCCGGGCGCCCCCGGAGGCUCAUCAAACACUGCAUCUUUGCGUCGGAGUUUAAGUAAAUUAAACAAAACUUUCAACAACGGAUCUCUUGGUUCUGGCAUCGAUGAAGAACGCAGC